rnacentral:lncRNA from 1 species
AGGGUCAGAUUUAAGUGACUUGAUCAAGAAAUCAUAAAGCACAGAAUGGAUCAAAGUCAAGAUCAAUCAAUAGGAUUCAUUAAUAAUGAAUUUGAAAGAUACUUGAUAUGGCCAAAUGAGGUUGACAUAUAGCACAGAUAUCAAAGUAGCUUCGGAUCAUCUUGUUGGGGUCAACAUAGGUUCUUAGAAGAUGAAGGUAUGACUCGAUACAAGAUUCAUAGACCUUCUCAGAGAGAAAAAGU